CCUUCGGCCGGAGGAACAUGGCAGCCACACAGCAGCCACCCUCUUGGUCCUGCUGCUCUGCUGCUGGCGGGGAGCGGACCUCAGCCACUGAACAUGACCACAGGUCAAACCACUGACCUGAGAACCGGUUCGAAAGACCACGAGGACAUACCUGGAGUAUUUGAUGAAAUCCUAGUCCAAGAGAUUCUGGAACCCAAUAAAUCGACGUCUAAAAUGCCAACGGCAGGAACAACGCUAUCAACAAGAAUAUUCAAGGAAAAAAAAGCCAGCCUCGAGGAGGAGGACGCCCCGUCGGCUGCUUCCGAGGGUCACCGUGUGCUCUCGGCGGUUCUCCCCGUCUCUCUCGGCCCUGAGGACAAGAUGGUCAACAACGGUAAAUGCAGCCAGGCCGGCGCCCGCCCGAGGUCCAAGCUGGCGGGAGGACAAGCAGGGGACGCCUCCCUCUGGGGGGGGGGGCCGCAGGUGACAGGUGACAGCACGGCCUGAGAGCUUUUCCGUGUCCUUCUUCACAGAACCCAGUACUGACGACACCUACCAAGUCGGCGAGCCCGAGGGCUCCCCGGAGCCACAGUACCCCCCCGGCGUGGGAGACGUACUUCAGAAUAACGGUAAAUGCAAAACCCGGGGCCCGGGCCUGCUUUCUGCACGCGGGGCCGUCAGUGUGGGCGUCUGAGCCGGCCGGGCACUGCACCUGGCCACCCGGGCACCGGCUCGCUUUCAAUUGCAUUUUCCCAUUCUGUGCACGUUUGGACAUCUCAGGUUUUAAGGGGCAAUUUUUUCAUCAUUUAAAAAUCUUUUCUUUCAUCCUCUCCCCCCAGUCUUUUUCAAGGCUGAUUUUGAAACUAUAAUUGAGAACAUACAGCGCGGACUCAGCAUCAUGGGACCUGUAACACAGUGACUGGCUUUUCUUCUCCCGGUUUUAUGGGGAUGUAAGGGGCACCCAGCUCUGUGUCAGGUUGAGGUACAGCAACACGAUGGCUCCGACUGUGUCAUGCAGGACCACCACCCUAAGUUCAGGGACCAUCCGUCGGCUCACUCAGACACAAAGUUAAAGAAACAGAAACGAAUCGUUUCCCUGUGACGGCAGCUCUCAGGAUGUAUCCCCUGAACCGCCUCCUAAAUAAUGUUCAGCAGGGUUGGUGAGCCUCACCGCGUCGCCUGGCACGGGUGUCUCCCACGGCCCCAAGUGUGCGCCGUGCGCACCCCCUCCUCGAGAGUCCCUCUCCUCCCGAGCCCCGGCACCCCAGAUCUGAUCUCUUGGCCUAGAAGUGUGUUCAUUUGUUUUUGAAGAUAAUGGACCGACAACACUGAGUGAGUGCCUGUUCCUGAUUUGUGGUGAAUCAAUACUUCUGUGUAUUUCAAACCGAUUCACCUGCAUGUCUUGUUCCAAUAUGUCACCCCCCAAAAAUAUGACACAGUUAUUGAUACAUUCCCUACUCGGGACAUUUCUUACCUAUUAGUUGUUUAUAACUAAAAGUUUGUACGUCUAUGUCUUCCCCACCGAUUUCUUUUUUCUUGUUAAAAUGUAGCUGAUUUGAACAUGUUAGUUUCAGAUGCACAGCAGAAGGCCUAAGUUAUAUAGAGAUGUAUAUAUAUAAACACAUACACACAUUUGUAUACAUGUGUAUACAUUUUUUUUCAGAUUCUUUUCCAUUACAGGUUAUUACACCAUCUUGGGUCUCCCCUGUGCUGUGCAGUAGGUCCUUGCUGUUUAUGUGUUUUAUAUACAGUGGUGUGUGUGUCUAUUAACCCCAAAGUCCUAAUUUAUCCCUCCGCCCCCUCCUGCCCCUUUUGGGACCAUAAGUUUGUUUUCUAUGUCUGUGAAUCUGUUUCUGUUUUGUCAAUGUAUCAUUUUGUCACAUUCCACAUAAAAGUGGUAUCAUAUGACACUGGUCUUCCUCUAACGUAGCACGAUCAUCUCUAGGUCCAUCCACGCUGCCGCAAACGACAUAAUUUUGUUCUUUUGUGACGCUGAGCAACACUCCAUUGUGUGUAUGCACCACAUCUUAAUCCAUUAAUCUGCUGACGGACAUUUGGGUUGCUUCCAUGUCUUGGCUAUUAGAACUAGUGCUGCACUGAACAGUGGGGUGCGUGUAUCUUUUCUUUUGUUUUUAAUUAAAUGAAUUGACCACAUCUGCAGUUGUAUAAUGAUCAUAACAAUCCCAUUCCACAGGAUUUCCGUCCCACAGCCC
rnacentral:lncRNA from 9 species